AUUGAACGCUGGCGGCAGGCCUAACACAUGCAAGUCGAACGAGUGGCGGACGGGUGAGUAAUGUCUGGGAAACUGCCCGAUGGAGGGGGAUAACUACUGGAAACGGUAGCUAAUACCGCAUACCAUCGGAUGUGCCCAGAUGGGAUUAGCUAGUAGGUGGGGUAACGGCUCACCUGGGCGACGAUCCCUAGCUGGUCUGAGAGGAUGACCGGCCACACUGGAACUGAGACACGGUCCAGACUCCUACGGGAGGAGGCAGUGGGGAAUAUUGCACAAGGGGCGCAGGCCUGAUGAAGCCAGGCCGCGUGUAUGAGGAGGGCCUUCGGGUGGUAAAGUACGUUCAGCGAGGAGACGUUACUCGCAGAGGAAGCACCGGCUAACUCCGUGCCAGCAGCCGCGGUAAUUC
rnacentral:rRNA from 1 species